rnacentral:lncRNA from 1 species
UGAUUGGGUAGGUCUGGGAUGAAGCCUGGGCACCUGCAUUUUUAACAGUGAUGUCUUGCUGUGAACAGAAUAGUUUCUAAUCUCCCCAAAUUUGGCACCAUCCUGGAGAGAGGCUCUGCAGAAAUGAAAGUUACAUGUAACAUCAUAGUAAAGCUUAAUCCCUGUUAUUUUAGAUAAAGCUUAAUCUCCAUUAUUCUUCAAUGAUGAACAGAAUUUCAUUUCAUUGGAUAACUCAGGACAUUGUGGACAGUGAUAUCCAUGGAAAGCAAGAUACUCAACAAUGCCUUAAAUGCCAGCAGACCCUCUAAACUCACAAAAGGAGCUCCGGUCCUGCUGAGCAGGAGAACAGCAGGGUUUGGGAAAGCUGCUGAUUGAAAUGCAAGCCUUCUCCUGAGAAGAUAGAAUAUCUAGAAUCAAGAAAGAGGCAUUUGGCUUUUCCGGGUGCACCCACCCCAGCUUCACUUACAAAGGAUGAAGUUAACCAUAGGAAGUUGGGCAGCAACCAGAGUAGCAACUGGAUCUGAUCUCAAAGGACACACCAGUGAAAGAGCAGCCUUUUGUGGUUACUGAGUUAAAAUUGUUUCCAAUUACUCCGUAUUGUUUCUCUGAGAGUGAGUGAGAAGUGAUACAGAACCUUCCCUCCCUCGAACACCUGUUCUUGUGGGAAGGCGGGGGACCCCCUUUAAAACCUUGAUCCUCUACUCCAAAGCCAGUGUCUGUGGCACAAUUAAACACACAGGCAGGAACCCACAUGUCCUCUUCAGGUGUUAUUUAAGAUGGCAAGUUCAAGGAGUUAGCUAUAGCUGCCAGAAUCUAGCACCUGUUACACAUUAGCAAUUAAAGUUAAGCGGAUCUAACUUGGAACCAAUGAAAAUAAUGGCAGCUUCUCAGAGGUCCAGUUAAUCUCUGGUUUUUAGAAGAGUCUUCCUAGCUCAGAUUUUAAAUAAAGCACAUUUGGAUAGCAAGAGAAGUUCCUGAAGACCUAACAGAUUUCAGUUAAAUCUUAUUGUUUACUUUUAACAUAGUCAUUCUGUCAUUCAGCAAAUAUGUAUUGAACAACCUCUC